rnacentral:rRNA from 1 species
UUGGAGGGCAAGUCUGGUGCCAGCAGCCGCGGUAAUUCCAGCUCCAAUAGCGUAUAUUAAAGUUGUUGCAGUUAAAAAGCUCGUAGUUGAAUUUCGGGGUUCUACCGUUGGUCGGGCUUUGUCUGUACUGGUGUGUAGAAUUUCUACCUUCUGGGGAACCAUCAUGCUAUUAAUUUAGCGUGGUGGGAAACCAGGACCUUUACCUUGAAAAAAUUAGUGUGUUCAAAGCAGGCUUAUGUCUGAAUACAUUAGCGUGGAAUAAUAGAAUAGGACGGUGGUCCUGUUUUGUUGGUUUCUGAAUCACCGUAAUGAUUAAUAGGGAUAGUUGGGGGCAUUAGUAUUCAAUUGUCAGAGGUGAAAUUCUUGGAUUUAUUGAAGACUAACUUCUGCGAAAGCAUUUGCCAAGGAUGUUUUCAUUAAUCAAGAACGAAAGUUAGGGGAUCGAAGACGAUCAGAUACCGUCGUAGUCUUAACCAUAAACUAUGCCGACUAGGGAUCGGACGAUGUUAAUUUUUCUUGACUUGUUCGGCGCCUUACGGGAAAC